AGGGAGUUGAUGCUGGCUAGGUCUCCUGGCAUGUGCUCGCUCCCGACAAUCUUAUCCAUACACCUGUGCACACUGUGAGGGCGUGAAAGCGCCCUUAUUUUAACAUACACCUUAUAUAGUAAUCGCACGUGAUCUGCGUCUUCUGGCGCUUAAAUGAAAAUACAACUUUUAACAACGGAUCUCUUGGCUCUCGCAUCGAUGAAGAACGCAGCGAAAUGCGAUAAGUAAUGUGAAUUGCGGAAUUCAGUGAAUCAUCGAAUCUUUGAACGCACCUUGCGCUCCUUGGUAUUCCGAGGAGCACGCCUGUUCGAGUGUCGUGAAACUCUCAAGCCUGAUGCUUUAUUGUAUCAGCUUGGUUAUUGGACUCUGCUGUCUCCUUCUCUGGAACGGCUGGUCUCAAAUGAAUUAGCUGGCCCUUGUUGUGGGACUUGGUUCUACUCAGCGUGAUAAUCUAUGACCGCUGAGGACAUCUCUCGGGAUGGCCAGACCUGCCUAGGACUGCUUCUAACUCAUCAUUUUCAUGAUAUUUUUCAACUUUGACCUCGAAUCAGGUGGGACUACCCGCUGAACUUAAGCAUAUCAAUAAGCGGAGGAAAAGAAACUAACAAGGAUUCCCCUAGUAACGGCGAGUGAAGCGGGAUGAGCUCAAAUUUAAAAUCUGGCAGUCUUUGAUUGUCCGAGUUGUAAUCUAGAGAAGCGUUUUCCGCGCUGGACUGUGUACAAGUUUCCUGGAUACGGAACAUCAUAGAGGGUGAGAAUCCCGUCCUUGACACAGACUCCUCAGUGCUCUGCGAUGCGCUCUCGACGAGU
rnacentral:rRNA from 1 species